rnacentral:tRNA from 1 species
GCCUGUGUGGCUCAGUCGGUUAAGCAUCCGACUUCGGCUCAGGUCAUGAUCUCGCGGUUUGUGGGUUCAAGCCCCGCGUCAGGCU